rnacentral:lncRNA from 1 species
AUCUAUUCCUCUAUCUCCUAUCCAUUUUCUGUCUGUCUGUCUGUCUGUCUGUCUGUCAUCCAUCCAUUAUAUAUCCAUUCUCCUCUCUCCUUUCCUAUCCUCCUUUCCUCUUCUCUCUAUCCUCUCUCUCUCUCUCUUUCUCUCUCUCUCUCAUAUCUCUCUCUUUUCUCCCCUACCCUUUCUUCUUCCUUCUCCGUUCUUUCUUUCUCUCUUUGUUCCUCUCCUCUCCUUUCUGUUGCUUCCGAGUCCCUGGAAACUCUGACCUCAGACCCUACAGGAAAUCUGAAUCCACCGUGAGCCUCAGCAGACUGACCAGGAACGGGAUCAAGAUACAGGGCAGAUACAAGGAGGGAAGUGACUGGCUUGGGAUAAAUUACAGAGCCCAUUCUAGAGAGGAGGCCUUAAUCCGUCCUCAAGAUCUUAGAGCUCCACCACUUCCAGAGCAGCUGUGAAUCACUCAUACCACUUGGUCCCUUGGGACUGUCAGAUUCUCAAACAGUGAGAAUUUGGUUUCGAUACCAGAGAAUCUGACAGUCAUAGCCAACGAGAGAAUGAAGGCCAGCCGCUUCUAAAGAGAACUGUAAGUGAACUAUUUCCCUGUCAACAUGACAUUUAAAAGCCUCCCAAACGCAGAGAAACAGAUAGCCCCAAUGUCUGCCUCAUAUGUGAGCCCAGCCUUGCAUCUCAUUUAGCUCGUUUUAUCUCCCAUCUUCUGUCCUUCCCUCUGUGU